GUCCACGCCGUAACGAUGAUAACUAGCUGUCCGGACACUUGGUGUUGGGUGGCGCAGCUAACGCAUUAAGUUAUCCGCCUGGGAGUACGGUCGCAAGAUUAAACUCAAGGAAUUGACGGGCCUGCACAAGCGGUGGAGCAUGUGGUUUAAUUCGAAGCAACGCGCAGAACCUUACCAGCGUUUGACAUCCCGCGCUACAACCAGAGAUGGUUGGUUCCCUUCGGGGACGCGGUGACAGGUGCUGCAUGGCUGUCGU
rnacentral:rRNA from 1 species